rnacentral:ribozyme from 1 species
UGAUUUUUCCCUUUGGCCAUAGCAGAAGCAUUCAUGUCAUGGCCCCUGUCAGAUUCCUAUGAAUCUGCGAAUUCUGCU